rnacentral:rRNA from 1 species
UACAGAGGGGGCAAGCGUUGUUCGGAAUUACUGGGCGUAAAGGGCGCGUAGGCGGCUCGCUACGUCAAACGUGAAAUCCCUCGGCUUAACCGGGGAACUGCGUUUGAUACUGGAUGGCUUGAGUUUGGGAGAGGGAUGCGGAAUUCCAGGUGUAGCGGUGAAAUGCGUAGAUAUCUGGAGGAACACCGGUGGCGAAGGCGGCAUCCUGGACCAAUACUGACGCUGAGGAGCGAAAGCUAGGGGAGCAAACAGG